rnacentral:rRNA from 1 species
GCUUGCACUUCCUGACGAGCGGCGGACGGGUGCGUAACACGUAGGAAUCUGCCCGGUAGUGGGGGAUAGCCCGGAGAAAUUCGGAUUAAUACCGCAUACGCCCUAAGGGGGAAAGCAGGGGAUCUUCGGACCUUGCGCUAUCGGAUGAGCCUGCGUCGGAUUAGCUUGUUGGUGGGGUAAAGGCCUACCAAGGCAACGAUCCGUAGCUGGUCUGAGAGGAUGAUCAGCCACACUGGGACUGAGACACGGCCCAGACUCCUACGGGAGGCAGCAGUGGGGAAUAUUGCACAAUGGGCGAAAGCCUGAUGCAGCCAUGCCGCGUGUGUGAAGAAGGCCCUAGGGUUGUAAAGCACUUUCAGUGGGGAGGAAAGGGAGAUUGCUAAUAUCGGUCUCCUGUGACGUUACCCACAGAAGAAGCACCGGCUAACUCCGUGCCAGCAGCCGCGGUAAUACGGAGGGUGCGAGCGUUAAUCGGAAUUACUGGGCGUAAAGCGUGCGUAGGCGGCUUUUUAAGUUGGAUGUGAAAGCCCCGGGCUUAACCUGGGAACUGCAUCCAAAACUGGAAGGCUUGAGUGCGAGAGAGGAGUGUGGAAUUUCCUGUGUAGCGGUGAAAUGCGUAGAUAUAGGAAGGAAC